rnacentral:rRNA from 2 species
CAUGUCCUUUUGAUAAUAAUUUAAGGUCUGAUCUGCUCAAUGAUAAUUAAAUUGCCGCAGUAUUUUGACUGUGCAAAGGUAGCAUAAUAAUUAGUUUCUUAAUUAGAAACUGGAAUGAAUGAUUGGACAAGAAAAUUUCUGUCUCUUUUUUAAUUUUUUUGAAUUUUAUUUUUAAGUGAAAAAGCUUAAAUAUUUAUAAAAGACGAGAAGACCCUAUAGAGUUUGAUAUUUUUGCAUAAUUUAAUAUUAGAAUUAUUUUUUGGGCAGAUUUAUUUAGUUGGGGUGAUUUGAAGAUUAAAAAAAUUCUUUAAAAGUUAAAUUGAUGAUUCUUAAAUUUUAAAUCUAUAGUUUAUAAAACUAAAAUUAAUUACCUUAGGGAUAACAGCGUAAUUUUUCUUAAAAGUUCAUAUUAAAAGGAAAGUUUGCGACCUCGAUGUUGGAUUAAAAUAAAUUUUUGGUGCAAUAACUUAAAAAUUAGGUCUGUUCGACCUUUAAAAUUUUACAUGAUCUGAGUUUAAACCGGUGUAAACCAGGUUGGAUUCUAUCUUUAGAAAGUUAAUAUAUUUUAGUACGAAAGGACCAAAUAUGUAUUAAAUUAAUU